rnacentral:rRNA from 1 species
GCAUUCUUGUCUACCACCCUGAAGGCGCCUGAUCUCGUCUGAUCUCGGAAGCUAAGCAGGGUCGGGCCUGGUUAGUACUUGGAUGGGAAGACUGGCAUUCUUUGAAACCCACUUGAGAAAUCCUGAUCUAGUGGGUC